rnacentral:rRNA from 1 species
GGAGGGUGCGAGCGUUAAUCGGAAUUACUGGGCGUAAAGCGCACGCAGGCGGUUCGGUAAGCCCUUUGUGAAAUCUCCAGGCUUAACCUGGAACAGUCGGAGGGGACUGCUGGGCUAGAGGACGGGAGAGGAGCGCGGAAUUCCCGGUGUAGCGGUGAAAUGCGUAGAGAUCGGGAGGAAGGCCGGUGGCGAAGGCGGCGCUCUGGAACGUUUCUGACGCUGAGGCUCGAAAGCGUGGGGAGCAAACAGGAUUAGAUACCCUGGUAGUCCACGCCUUAAACUAUGAAUACUAAGUGUCGGCGGGUUACCGCCGGUGCCGCAGCUAACGCAUUAAGUAUUCCGCCUGGGAAGUACGGCCGCAAGGUUG